GCGGUUUCUAUGAUUGGU
rnacentral:siRNA from 1 species